rnacentral:sRNA from 1 species
UCAAGCAAGUUGGGGAA